AAAGAUUGUGUAGACGUAUUUCUUAUCAUGAAGAGAGGUUUCGUUAUCCUUAGCUGCUUCAUAUUUGUAUUUCUUUAUAGACUGAAAAUAAAAUUGGCCAAAAGUUACCCAACUACUAGCAACUUUUCAAACGUAAGGUUAACUGAGUUACGCUGCAAUGAGGAAACACUUCAAGUUACUACCUUAAACCAAAAAAUUUUACCGAACACGUUGGGUGUUAUUGUUCCAUUUCGAAAUCGGUCCAAGCAUAUUCGACCUUUUAUUACUCAUAUGACCAAGUACUUAUCUGAUAAAGGCAUUCCACAUCAGUUUUGGGUCAUCAAUCAAACAGAUGCUUUCCGAUUUAAUCGGGGCAAACUUUUUAAUAUUGGGGUGAAAUAUGCUAGUUAUGCUGGUUGUGACUAUUUCGCUUUACAUGACAUAGACUUGUUACCAGAUAACCCAAAUUUAGACUAUGGAAAGCCGGUGAAAACAGGGGUUUACCAUGUCUCUAGACCCGGGCUACAUCCUCUGUAUAGGCACUCAAAAUUCUUAGGAGGGAUCAUCACUAUAACAAAAGAAGCUUUUAUUAGUGUAAACGGCUUUUCAAAUGAUUACUGGGGAUGGGGAAGAGAAGAUGAUGACUUUCGGGAAAGGAUUAGAUCAAAAAAAAUAAAAGUUGAUAGACCUCCCUUGCUGAGCACGGGAACGAAAAAAACUUUUAUUAAUUUACAUUUAAAAGAAGAUAUUAGGGACAAGAGUAAAACUGAGGAACAAAAUAGAUAUGCGAAGCAACAUUUUCCAGAGAGGGGAUUUAACGAUACUUCGUUGAGUGAGACGUGCUUCUGGGAGAAAAGUUUAGCUGGUAUAGUGUACUUCGUUGUAGAUGCCAAACUCAGUUGCGAUGCCAAGACCACUCCCUGGUGCCUCCCCCUUUCUACCUAAAACCCGUAUCCGGGCUUCUAUAAAAAAUUGGCGCCAAGGACCUUCAUUACAUAGCCCAAGCGAGCUUAGGAAUUAAACACGAAUUUCGUAUAUUACAGCUGGACAACAGGUAAAACAAUAUUUUUAAAAUUUUGACGGCCUUCAAAAGGAGACAAUCUUGAAGCUUUUUUAACUUUGCAAAGUUAUUUGUUAACGCUCGAACCCUAAUUAAAAGAUUGCCUGGUCCUUCGAGGUGUGUGCUUACCACGAGGACGUAGUAGGGGUGUUAAUAAACCCAACAACUUUCUAGUGAUAAGCUCGUGAUCAUGACAAAACGUUCGCUAAUAACCCGGGUGAGAUCAUCUACUAGCUAUGUGGAUUACGUUUUCUCCGAAUGAUGUGACUAACCCUAUCCCUAACCCUAAAGUGGCAGACUGUCGUAACGAUCACAACCGUAAGACGUCUUAGCAACUUCGUCUUACUAUUUUCGAAGCAAAUUAUAGGUGAACGAUUUUUAAAAUCUGGAGGCAUAUUAAACGUUCGCAAGCAGCGAUGGCUGAGCUUCGAAAAAUUCAAGUUGCGGGUAAGUCAGCAGGAGGAGUGUCGUUGUUCGAAUAACACGGCUUACCGGUCAGCAGCCUCAGUAGUUUGUUUUAAUGUGCUUACAACUGCUCCAGUUGACUGUGUAUCUUACCUAAGCAGGUAAAUCGUAAUCAAGGAGGAGUUGUUAACAGACGAUAUAUAAGUGCAGAUUGUUGCGUUUAUACAUAAUGCUUUUUGUUCAGUAUCGUUGUAGGUGUGACCUUAAUAACGAAGGGCUCUUUGAGGACGCGUAGAACAGCAGGUUCAUCGACUUAGAGCUCGACGCGAGUGUGAAGGUUAGUAGGAUUAUAAUGCCUCGCAUACAGCACGAAGAGCGAGGGAGAUAGCAGUGAGUCUCAAGGGACAGCAGCUGUCAGUCGAGGGUAUGAAGAAAGCGUAGUACCACCAAUUUUCACUCGCAAGGAAAGUGCGCACACAACAACGCAAGUAUGUUUAGGUUGUACCUAAUGCACCUAGUUUACAUAAGAGCAGCUAGUGCCUAUGUGGUCAAAGGCUUUUUCAAAGUGUUUUUCACCUUGUCCACAAAUAGGGGUUGUACGGAUCUCGUUUGAUCAGUUUAAUAAUCUGUGAAUAGUAGCUGAGGGUUACUAAACCAGUUAAAACUUAAGAAAAAUGUUUUU